AUGUGAAGCAUCCUGGAUCUUCUAGCUUCUUUGGAACAACAAGCCUGGAUGAUGGCACUGCACUCAUGAGUGAGAAUCAUCAUGCCCUUCAUCUCUUUCUUGUUUGCAGCUACAACAUCUUUCAGGAACUUACUAUAUUGAGGAAUUAGCAUGAAAGCAUCAAUAAUGGACAUUGUGACUUGAACUUCACUCAUUUGCUUCUCAAAUAGAGCUUUGUAC
rnacentral:lncRNA from 1 species